ACAGGCUAGACUGACAACUCCUGGGGACCAAGGCAAGCACCGUCGGGGAGGAACUGAGGGCCCAGGGAGGAGCAAACUCCAGCCUGUGAAGUAAAACCUGCAUGGGGAGUCACCCAGGUACCGAUGCAUCCUCCCUUACUCUGAUGAGGACGGCGGACACCUGCACCAACUGAAAAUGGCCGUGUCCUCCAUCCUGGGCCUCUGGCUACACCAUUACCGUGAGGAUUUUCACCAGCCCCCAGAAUUUCCCUGCCUGAAGACGCUAUUGGCUUACCUAGAGCUCAGCAUGCCUGGC